rnacentral:lncRNA from 1 species
UAGAAACAAAAGAAAGCGUCCAACUUCGGCAGACGCGGCUCUGAAGGUGUGAACGGCGCCAGGCUCCGGAGCGGGGUGCGCGCGAGGCAUCCUGCAGCAGCCGCUCGCCACCGCUUUGCAACAGCAGCGGACGCCGCCGGCRCGCGGUGCGCCGGGGCAGCACGCGGAGUUGGAAACCCACCGGCGCGCCAAUGCUGCGGCGGAGGGGCCAGGGGCCGUGGGGAGAGGGGGAGCCCCGCUGCGCUGGGGGGGCCGGAGAGCGACGCGAAGCAGGACGCGCGGCGUCGGGCUGACGAGUUUCGUGGGCGCCUCGGAGCCUCGGCGGCUGCAGGUCUGUCUCGGGGCCGGUGUUUCGGGGCUGCGGAGCGGGGAGAGGGAAGGGCAGAGCCCAGCGCGGCCCCCUCGUUGCGGGCCGCGCUCCUGCGGCGUUGGUGCUCGGUGGUUUCUGGAGGAAGCCGGUCGCGUACGGGGUGCGUAGGGAAACGACUUUCUCGCAGCCGGGGCGACGCUGUCUGGGCGAGCCRGAGCCCGCGGCAGGGCUUGCACGCGGCCGUGCUUCGUGUUGGGGGUCUUCCCGGCRCCCUGGCGGGUUCCUGAGGUGGUGCUACCGCCCCCAGCCUCGCUCCGAUCCUCCGCCGCUUCGUCCUUUCCCUUCUUUUCCUUUCUUUUUAACACGGAACGCGAGCGAUGAGUUGCGUUGAGCACAGCUGCCCUGCUGGGCUGAACUCGCUCUCGGGGUCUCGUUCGAGGUGGCCGGCGAGGAAGGUGCCGCGCAGCACGCGGUGGUCUUGGGUCCCCCCCGAYGCCCCCCCUGCGCCGGCCCUGCAGCGCGCGCGCUCGCUCGCUCGCUCGUGCCCAAGCGUCGAGGUGCUUUUCUGAGCUGUAGAACUAGCGGGAGCUGGAAGGYGCCGCGGGGUCCGGCGCCGGCAGGGCGUCUCUUCGCCUCGCAGAGCGUYGGGAGGCCGCGGCUCAUGGUGGGAGCCCGGCCCAGCUGCCUCUGGGGCUGUGCCCUCGUGGAAACCGUGCGGAAACUCCUCUCACCCGAGGGGACGGAAGGAUCGUGCCCGGGGUGGAGGCUGGGUCUGGCAGGAGGAGUCGUGCUGCGGCGCGUUCGGCCCCCGCCGUGCCCCUGCCCUGCCGAGCUUGCUGCAGGCAGGAGAAAGCCGGGGCCUCGCUCCGGGUGGGAGGAAGGUUGAGAGAGGAUUCGCCGCGGUGUGACGUGCGUUGCGUCGCUCCGUGCGACCUGUCCUGGAGACCAGACCCGAUCCAGCUGGCAAAGCUGAUCCUCAAGCACAAGCACGCAGCAGCGUGGCUGGAGACGGAUUCAAGUGCCUCUUCCAAGACCUCCGUGCCUUGCUUGCACCUGCUGUCCGGCGUUUGCCCC